CAGCAGCCGCGGUAAUACAGGGAUGCAAGUGUUAUCCGGAAUUAUUGGGCGUAAAGGGUUUCUAGGUUGAAAUUUAAGUCUUUUGCUAAAUAUCAGGGCUUAACCCUGACUCUGCAAAAGAAACUAGGUUUCUAGAGUACGGUAGAGGUUAAGGGAAUUUCCAGUGGAGCGGUGAAAUGCGUAGAUAUUGGAAGGAACACCAAAAGCGAAGGCACUUAACUGGGCCAUUACUGACACUGACAGACGAAAGCUAGGGGAGCAAACGAGAUUAGAUACCUCGGUAGUCCUAGCCCUAAACGAUGGGUACUAGAUGUUGGGUUUAUUACUCAGCGUCGUAGCUAACGCGUUAAGUACCCCGCCUGGGAAGUAUGCUCGCAAGAGUGAAACUCAAAGGAAUUGACGG
rnacentral:rRNA from 1 species